ACUAACAGUUAGGAGCACUUAUCAGGGGCUAGGCAUGUUCUAAGUACUCUACAGAUAUUCCUUCACUUAUUUAAGAAACAACACUAGACUAGAAGCCAAAAAGACCAGGAUUCUACUCCAAAUCCUGGUACUGAUUAACUGCAAAACUUGGAGGAAGUCACUUCUACCAAUCUGGAUCUCAAUUUCCACAGAUAUACAUUGAAGGCACUCCAUCUAUGUAUUUUGGAGCAUAGAAGAGUUAAAGUUUCACACCUUCAUUCCAUAAGCUCUUCAACCGUGUUUUGCAGAGCAAAGCCUUGGCAACCGCCUGGAACUCACUGCUGACGCAGCUCCUACCUGCUCUCCACUCUCUGCUAUGGAGAGGAGCAUCCUGACCGAUUAUACUGGAGACUGGAGACCUACUGAUGUGCACCCUCAACAGUGUGACACAUUAGAAGACAACUACAACUGAUGUGCUUGGAGCCUGUUCCUAGGAUUCUUCCUCACAAGCUGACUAUGCAACUCUGGUCUCUCACAUAUAAACCUGAUUCACUUA